GUUCACAGCCUCACUGCCAACAGGCAGGCAGGCACCUGCCAGGUUGAGAGGGUACAGCCAUCUGGAACAGCAGAGAAGAGCUUUGGGAAGAAAACACAUUUCAUAAAUCCCUAUGGCUACAGAGAUUGCUGCAAUAGUUAUCAUCAUGUCUAAUGCCCCUGGAUUCCUGCAGACUGUUACAUGACUCUGUUGACUCUGAGUCACCGGCACCUGC
rnacentral:lncRNA from 1 species